AUGGGGAAUGGGUCACAUGCUUCUGUUCGUGGCAUUGGCACGGUGGAUCUGAAGUUUACUUCGGGAAAGGUCGUGCAACUAAGGAACGUGCAGCAUGUCCCUACUAUGAACAAGAAUCUAGUUAGCGGCUCCCUUCUAUGUCGAGAUGGAUUUAAGGUAGUUUUAGAGUCCAAUAAAGUAAUCGUGUCAAGAUUUGGACAAUUUAUAGGAAAAGGCUAUGAGUGCGGAGGCUUGUUCCGCUUUUCUCUUUCAGAUUUUUGCAAUAAGUCAAUAAACCAAAUUUGUGCUAGUGUUAAUGAUGAUGCAAGUAUUUGGCACUCUCGUUUAUGUCAUAUUAAUUUUGGUUUAAUGUCUCGGCUAUCCAGCAUGAGUUUAAUUCCGAACUUCACAAUUACCAAAGGUUCUAAGUGCCAUAGUUGUCUGCAAUCUAAGCAACCUCGAAAGCCUCAUAAGGCCGCCGAGGAGAGAAACUUGGCACCUCUAGAACUCAUACAUUCUGAUCUUUGUGAGAUGAAUGGUGUGUUGACAAAAGGUGGAAAGAGAUAUUUCAUGACAUUGAUUGAUGAUGCGACUAGAUUUUGCUAUGUUUAUUUGUUGCAAACUAAAGAUGAAGCAUUAGACUACUUUAAAAUCUAUAAAGCUGAAGUUGAAAAUCAACUAGAGAGAAAGAUCAAGCGUCUUAGAGUUCCCAACAAUAAUAAAGAGAAAACCCCUUAUGAGGAGUGGGUUGGGAGAAAACCAUCACUUUCUUAUUUGCGCACUUGGGGAUGUUUGGCAAAGAUCAAUAUUCCUAUUCCUAAGAAACGCAAACUUGGACCAAAGACAGUGGAUUGUGUCUUUCUAGGGUAUGCUCAACGGAGCAUUGCUUAUAGGUUUUUAGUGGUAAAAUCUGAAGUACCUGAUAUGCAUGUUGAUGAUUGGAAAGAAGCUGUUCAUAAUGAGAUGGACUCAAUUCUUUCUAAUGGAACUUGGGAACUAACUGAUAGACCAUAUGGUUGUAAACCUGUGGGCUGUAAGUGGGUGUUCAAAAAGAAGCUAAAGCCUGAUGGAUUUGUCAUUAACGAGGCUGAUAGGUGUGUUUACUAUCGCCAUGGUGGGGGCAAUAGUGUCAUAUUAUGUUUGUAUGUGGACGACAUACUGAUCUUUGGUACAAACAUUAAUGCAAUUAAUGAGGUCAAGUCUUUUCUAUCAAAAAGUUUUGACAUGAAAGAUCUGGGAGAAGCCGAUGUAAUUCUAAACAUCAAACUUAUUAAGGAUGAGAGUGGGAUUACAUUAACGCAAUCUCACUAUGUUGAGAAGGUCCUGAACCGAUUCGGUUUUAUGGAUAGCAAGCCUUCUCCAACACCUUAUGAUCCCAGCGUGACACUCAGAAAGAACAAGAAAGAAACGAGAGAUCAAUUA
rnacentral:rRNA from 1 species